rnacentral:rRNA from 1 species
AUCGCCUCUUGACCCCCAAUAAGAGGUCCAGCCUGCCCAGUGACACUGUUCAACGGCCGCGGUAUCCUAACCGUGCGAAGGUAGCGUAAUCACUUGUUCUUUAAUUGAGGACUAGUAUGAAUGGCUUCACGAGGACUAUACUGUCUCCUUUUUCUAAUCAAUGAAACUAAUCUUCCCGUGAAGAAGCGGGGAUAACUUUAUAAGACGAGAAGACCCUAUGGAGCUUUAAACAAUUGAAAUAUUUGCUUUUACUAACUACCUCUCGGGGACUAAAUAUAUUUAAGCAUAAUUAAUUUCUAGUUUUAGGUUGGGGUGACCACGGAGUAAAACUUAACCUCCACGCUGAAAGUAACGCCUUCUUAGCAAAAAGCCACAUCUUUAUGCAUCACCAAACUGACUUACAUUGACCCAAUUAUUUGAUCAACGAACCAAGUUACCCUAGGGAUAACAGCGCAAUCUACCUCAAGAGCCCGUAUUGACAGGUAGGUUUACGACCUCGAUGUUGGAUCAGGGUGUCCCGGUGGUGCAGCCGCUACUAAAGGUUCGUUUGUUCAACGAUUAAAACCCU